rnacentral:rRNA from 1 species
UACGUAGGGGGCAAGCGUUGUCCGGAAUCAUUGGGCGUAAAGAGCGUGUAGGCGGCCAGGUAGGUCGGUUGUGAAAACUGGAGGCUCAACCUUCAGAGGUCGACCGAAACCAUCUGGCUAGAGUCCGGGAGAGGAGAGUGGAAUUCCUGGUGUAGCGGUGAAAUGCGCAGAUAUCAGGAGGAACACCAAUGGCGAAGGCAGAUCUCUGGGCCGUAACUGACGCUGAGGAGCGAAAGCAUGGGGAGCGAACAGG